rfam:Sus scrofa chromosome 10.
UCCCUGGUGGUCAAGAGGUUAGGACUUGGUACUUUCAUGGCUGCAGCCCAGGUUCGAUCCCUGGCCUGGGAA